ACCAAAUACGAUCGCCAACUCAGGUACUGUUGAUUCUCUGCCUUCCCACUUCGUUUUUGUUUCCUUUUCCUUCUCCUUAUCCUCUCCCUUCUUCUUUAACUUAGCUCUAUCUUGCCCUAACUUUGUAAAAUCACAGCUCUCAAAUUUGGUUAUUUGGGAGAUAUUUCGUUGCCUUUUGUUAAUCUCUGUUUGUUUCAAUGGAAAAUUUUAGCUUGGAGGAAAAAUGAUAUUGAGUUCUUAAACAUCACAAAACUUAGCUCGCUAUAUUACCUUGCUGAAUAAAUUUCUUAUCUGAAUCAAAGUUUUUAAAAAAUAGUUGCUGAAAUUGGUUUUGGUGGAGGAAGUAUGUAAAUAGAGGCUUUGUUCCGAGUUAGUCUGAGUA
rnacentral:misc_RNA from 1 species